UACGUAGGGUGCAAGCGUUGUCCGGAAUUAUUGGGCGUAAAGAGCUCGUAGGCGGUCUGUCGCGUCGGCUGUGAAAACCCGGGGCUCAACCCCGGGCCUGCAGUCGAUACGGGCAGACUAGAGUGCGGGUAGGGGAGACUGGAAUUCCGGGUGUAGCGGUGGAAUGCGUAGAGAUCCGGAAGAACACCAGUGGCGAAGGCGGCCCGCUGGGCAGUGGCUGACGCUGAGGCGCGACAGCGUGGGGACGCA
rnacentral:rRNA from 1 species